rnacentral:rRNA from 1 species
AGUCGAGAAGCUUCCGCAAUGGGGGAAACCCUGACGGAGCGACGCCGCGUGAACGAAGAAGGUCCUAUGGAUUGUAAAGUUCUGUCAGAUUGGGAAGAAAACCUUGGGGUUAAUACCCUCAAGGCUUGACGGUACCAUCAGAGGAAGCACCGGCUAACUCCGUGCCAGCAGCCGCGGUAAUACGGAGGGUGCAAGCGUUGUUCGGAUUCACUGGGUAUAAAGGGUGCGCAGGCGGCUUGAUAAGUCAGAGGUGAAAUAUGUCGGCUCAACCGGCAAACGGCCCCUGAAACUGUCAAGCUUGAGUCCGGGAGAGGUAGGUGGAAUUCCAGGUGUAGCGGUGAAAUGCGUAAAUAUCUGGAGGAACACCGGUGGCGAAGGCGGCCUACUGGCCCUGAACUGACGCUCAGGCACGAAAGCAUGGGGAGCGAACGGGAUUAGAUACCCCGGUAGUCCAUGCCGUAAACGAUGGGUACUAGGUGUUGGAGGAUUCUACCCCUUCAGUGCCGCAGCUAACGCAUUAAGUACCCCACCUGGGGAGUACGAUCGCAAGGUUGAAACUCAAAGGAAUUGACGGGGGCCCGCACAAGCGGUGGAGCAUGUGGUUUAAUUCGAUGCAACGCGAAGAACCUUACCUGGGCUUGACAUGCAGGGGACAGAUGUAGAAAUACAUCCUUCUUCGGACUCCUGUACAGGUGCUGCAUGGCUGUCGUCAGCUCGUGUCGUGAAAUGUUAGGUUAAGUCCUGCAACGAGCGCAACCCCUAUCUUUAGUUGCCAUCAGGUUAUGCUGGGGACUCUAGAGAGACUGCCGGUGACAAACCGGAGGAAGGUGGGGACGACGUCAAGUCAUCAUGGCCCUUACGCCCAGGGCUACACACGUGCUACAAUGGUCGGUACAAUGGGCUGCAAUACAGUGAUGUGGAGCGAAUCCCAAAAAGCCGGCCUCAGUUCGGAUCGUAGUCUGCAACUCGACUACGUGAAGUUGGAAUCGCUAGUAAUCGCGUAUCAGAACGACGCGGUGAAUACGUUCCCGGGCCUUGUACACACCGCCCGUCAAGUCAACCGAAUUGGUUGCACCCCAAGUCGCUGAGCUAACCCGUAAGGGAGGCAGGUGCCCAAGGUGUGAUUAGUGAGGGGGACU